CGCCGCGUCCUCGAGCGCGCCCUCGACAUCGCUAUCGGCCGCAUCCGUAGCUGGGGCUCGGACUACGACGUGUCGGGAGUGCUUGCUGAUGUGAGCGCAGCGUCAGGCACUGACGAGCGACUCGUCAUCGCCUGCGAGCUCAUUAGCGACGGUCCAAAAGUACACGACGA
rnacentral:misc_RNA from 1 species